rnacentral:rRNA from 1 species
AGUGAACGCUGGCGGCGUGCUUAACACAUGCAAGUCGAGCGAAUUCUGGCAGCGUAUCGCCAGAGUUAGCGGCAGACGGGUGAGUAAUACUUGGGUAAUCUACCCUUGAGUGGGAAAUAACCUGCCGAAAGGCGAGCUAAUGUCCCAUAAGACCACGGGAGCGCAUGCUCCAGGGGUCAAAGGUCCGCAAGGGCCGCUUAUGGAGGGACCCGAGUCCUAUCAUGGUAGUUGGUGAGGUAACGGCUCACCAAGCCUUUGACGGGUAGCCGG